rnacentral:rRNA from 1 species
CCUACGUGCGGCAGCAGUGAGGAAUAUUGGUCAAUGGGUGCGAGCCUGAACCAGCCAAGUAGCGUGAAGGAUGACUGCCCUACGGGUUGUAAACUUCUUUUAUAAAGGAAUAAAGUGAGGCACGUGUGCCUUUUUGUAUGUACUUUAUGAAUAAGGAUCGGCUAACUCCGUGCCAGCAGCCGCGGUAAUACGGAGGAUCCGAGCGUUAUCCGGAUUUAUUGGGUUUAAAGGGAGCGUAUAUGGGUUGUUAAGUCAGUUGUGAAAGUUUGCGGCUCAACCGUAAAAUUGCAAUUGAUACUGGCAGUCUUGAGUACAGUUGAGGUAGGCGGAAUUCGUGGUGUAGCGGUGAAAUGCUUAGAUAUCACGAAGAACUCCGAUGGCGAAGGCAGCUUACUAAACUGCCACUGACAUUGAUGCUCGAAAGUGUGGGUAUCAAACAGGAUUAGAUACCCCUGUAGUC